AGAGUUUGAUCCUGGCUCAGGAUGAACGCUGGCGGCGUGCUUAACACAUGCAAGUCGAACGAUUAACCCGCCCUCGGGCGGUUAUAGAGUGGCGAACGGGUGAGUAACACGUGACCAACCUGCCCCCUUCACCGGGAUAACCCAGGGAAACCUGCGCUAAUACCGGAUACUCCGGGACCCCCGCAUGGGGCUCCAGGGAAAGCCCAGGCGGAAGGGGAUGGGGUCGCGGCCCAUUAGGUAGACGGCGGGGUAACGGCCCACCGUGCCCGCGAUGGGUAGCCGGGUUGAGAGACCGAUCGGCCACAUUGGGACUGAGAUACGGCCCAGACUCCUACGGGAGGCAGCAGUGGGGAAUUUUGCGCAAUGGGGGAAACCCUGACGCAGCAACGCCGCGUGCGGGACGACAGCCUUCGGGUUGUAAACCGCUUUCAGCAGGGAAUAAUUUUGAAGGUACCUGCAGAAGAAGCUCCGGCUAACUACGUGCCAGCAGCCGCGGUAAUACGUAGGGAGCGAGCGUUAUCCGGAAUCAUUGGGCGUAAAGCGCGCGUAGGCGGCCCGUCAAGCGGGGUUUCAAAUCCAGGGGCUCAACCUCUGACCGGACCCCGAACUGGCGGGCUCGAGUGCGGUAGAGGAAGGUGGAAUUCCCAGUGUAGCGGUGAAAUGCGCAGAUAUUGGGAAGAACACCGAUGGCGAAGGCAGCCUUCUGGGCCGCCACUGACGCUGAGGCGCGAAAGCUAGGGGAGCAAACAGGAUUAGACACCCUGGUAGUCCACGCGGUAAACGAUGAAUGCUAGGUGUCGGGUGACGAAGUCAUUCGGUGCCGCCGCAAACGCAUUAAGCAUUCCACCUGGGGAGUACGUUCGCAAGAAUGAAACUCAAAGGAAUUGACGGGGACCCGCACAAGCGGUGGAGCAUGUGGUUUAAUUCGAAGCAACGCGAAGAACCUUACCAAGUCUUGACAUCCCUCUGACCGGAACUUAACCGUUCCUUCCCUUCGGGGCAGAGGAGACAGGUGGUGCAUGGUUGUCGUCAGCUCGUGUAGUGAGAUGUUGGGUUAAGUCCCGCAACGAGCGCAACCCCUAUCCCCAGUAGCCAGCAUUUAAGGUGGGCACUCUGAGGAGACUGCCAGGGAUAACCUGGAGGAAGGCGGGGAUGACGUCAAAUCAUCAUGCCCCUUAUGAUUUGGGCUACACACGUGCUACAAUGGCGUAAACAAAGGGAAGCGAACCCGCGAGGGUGGGCAAAUCCCAAAAAUAACGUCCCAGUUCGGACUGUAGUCUGCAACCCGACUACACGAAGCUGGAAUCGCUAGUAAUCGCGGAUCAGAAUGCCGCGGUGAAUACGUUCCCGGGUCUUGUACACACCGCCCGUCACACCAUGGGAGUCAGUAACGCCCGAAGUCAGUGACCUAACCGUAAGGAGGGAGCUGCCGAAGGCGGGACCGAUGACUGGGGUGAAGUCGUAACAAGGUA
rnacentral:rRNA from 1 species